GGAUGUGAGGGCGACCUAACUGUGACAUCUAUCACCCUAUUGAUCGCCAGGGUUGCUUUGGCUGAUCUCUGGCUAGGCAGGUGUCCCCUUCCUCCCUCGCCACCCUCCUGAAGUUGUGUCCCUCCUGAAGUUGAAGAGGAUGCUUGGUUGAAGAGGAUGGCCUUUCCCAAAUAGAGAUGGACCAGUCUUCGGUCAAGGGUAUAUGAAUAGCUACACUCCCCUGCUAGAACCUCCAAAUAAGCUUUCAAAGCUAGGACCUCAUAUGUGCAAGUCCUUUGCUCUACCAUAGGGAUCUCUCCUUAAUUUUAAGUCUAAAUUGUAAUUUAAG
ensembl:misc_RNA 7SK 7SK RNA